rnacentral:rRNA from 1 species
AUGCCACCGGUAGUGGAGCCGUUGGAGGUCCAUCCAAGAGUGACGGUCCGGGACAGGAUCUCCGUCAGGCCGUCAGCUUUUGACCGCCUUUUGGGGCCAGGGGCGCCAGCUAGCGAUAAUUCAAAUCAGGCGGCGAAUGGAGACCGCGGUUUGGUGGCGGCUUCGAGAACGGAUCCCCCAAUGAUUGGCGUUGAUGGGAAGGAUAAGGAGGAGAAAGUUCUGGUAUCCACUCCGCACCUGCCAGCUAGCGAGAUUGUGGUGGGGCCGGGCGCGGGUUUGAUGGUGGAGACGGAGACGUGUGUGGUGGCGCAGAAUUUUGAGGAAAGGGGGGUCCCACUGCAAGGGGACAGGGAGCAGAGUAACUCGCCUCCGCCAGAGGGGACCCCACCGCUUCCCACGAUCGAGAAAUCACCACCAGUGGAUGCUACAGCGGCGAUGGAAUCUCCGGUGUCUCCCAUCAUUGGCCUUGGCGGGACGCAGGAGAGGGAAGUAGUGGCACCGCGCACUUUGGCGCCAAUCGAGGAGAUUAGGCCCCAGGAAGAUUGUGGGCCACUUGCUGCAGCCAAUGAGUGCCCUGCAAUUCUGCAUGGCGUGGAGAGGGGGCCGGAGCAGGUGGAUGGGAAUCAUGCAUGGGCCCACACCCAUGCACGACCGUACGUAGAGAGUGCAACUGCGCAGCAAGAGGGGAUGCUUGAUCGGACCGGCACACAUGCACGUACGAUUCCUAAGGAUACUUCGGCGCAGUUUGAGCUUGGGCGCGCCAUGAUCCCUGAGACUGAGCAGGUGGGGAUGGGUGAGCUCGCGCUCAGCUUGGCUGACAUUGCGGAUGAAGCGGAGGAUGGGACAACAGCGAAGGAAGUGGAGCUCGCAGCGCUAACCGAAGGAAUGACAAGACAAGAGGCAGCAGCGUUCGCCAAACUCAAGACCUUUUGCUCCAACAUUGUGAAGCGACUCGCCCCACCUCUGCUCAAGGAAGUCCAGGCCUCGGCGCUAAGGUUGGAGCCAGAGCCAUGCACUCCUAGGCGCACCACGAGAGCCUCAAAGAGAUCUUCAACAGUGUCAGUGACGAAAGCCACCCCGGCUGAAAAUGUGCUACUGCGGGCGCUUGGAUUAGUCCCGGCUAAUCUAGUGCCUCAUGAGGAAGAUGUGCAAGAGCUCAAGGACCUAUUCGACUCGCCUUUGCGUGAUCAACAUGUUCGGAUCAUUGUGGCUUUGUUUGGCAAGCCGGUGCCAUCCUUUGAGAUGGAAGAGGAGACAAGGGUGAUGGUGGAGGCUCGGUGA